AAGUCGUAACAAGGUUUCCGUAGGUGAACCUGCGGAAGGAUCAUUACCGAGAUUUUUUCCUGCUUGCAGGAAAUCUCCCACCCUUAUGUGUAACGAAAUUUUGAUAUACUUUGGUAAAGCGCUUGUUGAGCAUACGUGCUAAGCAACCAGUGACUGACUUUUUUUUAUGUUAGUGGCUGUGUCUUUGCCAAAGGACCCCAAAUAUAACUCUAUUUUAUAUAAUUAUUUUGUCUGAGUUUAUAAUUUUUAAAAUAAACAAAACUUUCAACAACGGAUCUCUUGGUUCUG
rnacentral:misc_RNA from 1 species